GCGACGAGUUGCCAGUCUUCUGGAUGUGUUGUCUUCGCUUUAAGUCUGAUAUUGAAGUUAAGCAUCUUCAACCAUGUAAUUUUCUUAUUUAUUAAUUUUCUCACACCCGAAAAUGCUUUAGAUAACAGAUUUUCAGUGUAAAACCUUCAAGAAUUUCGUGGGUGACCAGAAUAUGAAAUAAUGCUAUAUUUAAUAUUAUACGCGAAAGGCACUUGUCACCGGUAGGUGGAUUAAUCAAGAUUUGAUCACAAAUAUUUUUUUUAUCAUAUCUCCGGAACCAACCGUCCGAUCGGAAUGAAAUUCAAUAGCGUUAGUAGAUAGAUACAAACAAAAUGAAACCGAUUGCACUCAAAUCGGUCCAGCCAUCGGCGAGUUAAGAGAAUGAGUAUUACCACAGAGAACAGACGCUCAACUUCAGCCAGAAACUUGUGUAAACUUUUAUAAAGAUAAGUGUUGUUACGUAGAGCUGGUAGGUGGCUAUAAAUUUGCCACCAAUAACCAAUUUCACGCUAGUGUCGAUCAAUUAGAUCAAUUUUCUGUUGAUAAUUGCCACUAGGAGCUAACUGCACUUAGUGCCUAGUGUAAUUUGGGCAACGCCAGCGACAUCAUAUUGUCAAAAAGGGUUUGUAAGGUGGCGCUUAAAUGCAAUCGAAUACAACAUAUCAAGAAGACUGACAACUCUUCCAUUUUCUCAAACGACCGGUAUGAGACAGGCACAAUCGCGUCAUCUGCCGCUCAAAGGUAAAUGCUCCGAACGAAUUGGAUAGCAAAGGUUCCAUCCUCAGAAGAAAGGUUUGUGUAUUUGCUCAUGUUUCUAUGCGUUACUUCACUCGAGCGCAGCGCUGCUGUGUCUGUCGCUCGGAUUCAGGCAAAGUUACCAGUCUUCUUGAUAUGUUGUCUUCGGUGCAAUUCACAGUGGUCCAGGAAUGCAAUCUAGCAGAACAAAAUUAAUAACUCCAAAACGAGUAAUUUUAGUGACGUUCCCUGAAGAAGGCCAAGUCCAAAGACGUCGGACAAACGUGGUUUGAUCCACCGUUCAUUGAAAAGCAAUGCGCUUUCAUUUUGAAAUCCCCG